CCUCCUCCUCCUCCUCCUCCUCCUCCUCUCACCCAGGAUCACUUCCGAAACCACUUGGCCUUCAGCCCCUGCCUCGGCCAGAGGUUUCAUUUUUAACUGAAUAUUUACGAAAGCUGAAAGCGUGCGAGGGGGGUGGGGUGGAAAUAGCGGCUGCUUCUUUUCCAAGGAUUUAUUUAAUGGGGAUGUGUUCAAGGCAAGACCGAAUUCAGAAGGAUAUCGACGUCGUGAUCCAGAAGUCCAGAGCUGAGGACUGCCUGUUUGCAGAUUUCAGAUACUCAGACUCCACCUUUACUUUUACCUAUGUUGGCGGCCCCAGAAGGGCCCGCCUGGCAGGACGACUGAGCAAGUUCUUGGAAAACCAGAGAUAUUAGAGCGGUGAAUCGCGCUGGUCACGUUGGACACCUGCGCGUUAGGAGAUUCUGGAGCCAGAGGGAGAGACCCCAGAAACGCCCCGGUCGGCGACCCAGCCCGAGACGCCUGGGGUCCCAAGGGAAGCUGAACGCCCGGUGGGCUCCCGGGAUGGUUCUUCCGGUUCUUUGUGCCGCCUUCACCCAGUGAAGGAGCCUGUAUCCACCCUGCCCAGUCGCUGUUGGGCUGCUGCGGAGCUUCCGCUGCCAUCUUCGGAUCCUGUGUUCCGCCCGGGGCUCCACCAGGGCAGGGAUGGUGCAGAAUGGGGAAAUGGAGAGAGAACCUGAAAGAGCCCCAAACUCGAGGACCUAUUGCUCCCCAAGAAUAACAUCUUCCAGAACUAGACAGAAAACUAGGCGUCUGGGAACCCUGAAAUCCUUGGAGGAGUAGAUCAUCAUGACCCUCUGUGUUCCUUUUGGCAAAUGACUUGCUUCCAUUGUUUGUUUGUUCAAUUGUCUGUUUGUUAAAUAAAUAAAACCCUUUUUAUGUAUCUUUAAAAUUACAUUGGUUCUAUUAUUUUAUGAUUACAAACGAUGCUGCAGUCAUCAUUCUUGUACACUUCUCAUUGGCCACUGGUGUAUUUCUAUAGGGUGGAGGCCUGGAGAGCAGUUGUUCCAGCAUAGUGUUUACAUAGCUUUUAUUUAAUUCCGUUUUCUUUCCUUUGUUGCUUUAUUAGCUAUAACCCUUCUCUUAUUUCAGUGGCAGCUUUAGGGUUUCUGGGAUACAUCUUUAAUUUAUCACAUUCUGCUUUCAAGUGUAAUUAUACCUCCCUUUCUGGCCUUUAUCCUAGUGUUACGUAUUUUUACUUUAUGCAUUAUAAGUUUUGUGAUUAUCAUUACCUUCAUUUAUUAUGUCAAAUAUUUUUAAAAAGAUUUAAAUUAUAAGAAAAUGUGUAGUACAUGCUUUCUAAAUGCCAUUUCCAAUAUUUGUUUUUGUAUAGGUCCAGAUUUUUAUCUGGGAUCCUUUUGCUUCUGCCUGGAGGACUCUUAAGAUUUCUUGUAGCGUGGGUUGGUGAAUUCUUUUAGUUUUUGUAUGUUUUUCAAUGUCCUUAUUUCACUCACAGUUUUGAAAUUUUAUUUUUGCAUAGAAUUCUAGGUUAAUUUUUUUCUCUAGUACUUUAAAAAUGUUGCCAUUUAUGAAGCAUUGCCAUUUAAAGUAUCAUCUUUCAUGUGCUUGUGAAAAUGGCAUAAAGCCGGUUUCUUGUGCUGGUUAUGUAAUUUUCAGAAUGUGUAUUUAAAUUUAAAAUAUUAAAUUUUCCUAAAAAACUAAAAAUAUUAAUCAUGAAUGUCCUAGAUUCAUCUUAAAUUCCACCAACAGUGCACUUAAAAUGUGCCCAACCUGAGGGUCAAACCUACCUGCUGACAUGUAAUUUGUGUUUGUGAGACAUUCUCAACAGCAUUUGCUUUCCCCAGCUGAGUGAUCUUCCUCACAUCUGAAUGUCUUCAGUGCAAAAGGAAAUGUUUUUCUUCGCAAAAAUACUUUCAAAUACUCUUACUUCAAGGAAGUGCAUUAAAAACAAACUUCUCAUUUGCAUCCCUGGAAUUCAAAGCCCUAAUCAAGUGCUUCAGGAUCAAGAGCUAAACAGGGGAGGACAAAGCGUGGCUUCUUCACUAGGAGUCAAGCCAAAGUCAACUGGUUUGAUCGCCAACGUAGAUCGGAACUCGGUUCACCAGCGACCUGAGGACCCGGCCCAGAAGAGGGAGUGUCUCUUCAUGGUGCCUUCAGAUAGAAAAUCUCCUAGGAUUUCUUUCUUUCCCUUUGAUCUACUUCCAACUCUCCCUUUCUAUUUCUUCAAGACCUUUUUCGGAUCCCUACUGCGAAGGACCUAAGGGGCCGGUGCCCUUCCCCACUGGUCCCUCCCUGCCUGGUGUCUUAGGAGCCCAAGCUCACCUGGAACAUUACUGCCCGCCGGAGACAGCGAGAGGACCAAGGAGCGCGGCGGUGCGGUGGGAACCACAGCGUCACCGCUCACCUGCGCCUCGUGGGCUCCUAGAAAAUUGAAUAAAUGCCCCCUGAAGCUUCUCUGCAGGUCACACGGAAGAGGAGGGUGGCUGCCGACACGCGGGAGAAGCUUCAAGAAGCGUCGGGAGGACCUACCUGGUCCUGCCCCUGGGCCUUGAAGACAGGCCUGGCCAGGCUGAUUUGGUCCGGUAGUCUCAAAGAAAAUGUUCAAGGGUGGCCCAAACCUCCACCCCAAGAUUAAGGCUCUUAAAUGUCUGACGGUUUUGAGACUCGUCAGUAGAAUCAAUCCCGCCUGUAUCAGGAGACUCCUUUGCCAAAAUUCAAAGACCAAGAAAGAGAAAGAUUGGGCAGGUUAAAGUCUGUAAUUAACCAAACAGGAGACAGAAUUUUUCUGAGAAAUUGUAUGUGUGCUGUGAGAAAAAGACUAGCCUCAAGGAGAAUCUGUUCUUUUGGCUUAAUUGUAGGAAAGAAUGGAAUUGCCACCAACAAUGGUACGUUGAAACGGCAGGUGCAUCAGGCUGUAGAUGUGAAGGAAUUAAAAAUAUUUUACCCCAAAAUACAUUUCUUUGACAUAUUUUGAGAUGUCUGUUCAGAAAGCCAGCUGCAGAAGUAGCCCUGCAAAGUUGUCUUUCGUUGGGGAGAUUUGCAUCUGUAGGGAAUCUGCAUUGAUGCAGCCAAGUCUUUCCUUGCCCAGAUCUAGGAAAGAUUAACUGAGAGUCUGACAGCUGUAAAGGUCUGAAAGAAACUUUCAGAGCUUAUUCUUUCUGAGAGCUGCUGCCUGUAAGGUUUCAUUUACAUAUUAAGAUCACCUUUGCUAGCCAGGCCUCCUCUUCUCUCCCUCCCAUAACCUGUCUUGCCC
rnacentral:lncRNA from 1 species